rnacentral:rRNA from 1 species
UACGUAGGGGGGCAAGCGUUGUCCGGAUUUAUUGGGCGUAAAGAGCGUGUAGGCGGUCAGGUAGGUCGGUUGUGAAAACUGGAGGCUCAACCUUCAGAGGUCGACCGAAACCCCCUGGCUAGAGUCCGGGAGAGGAGAGUGGAAUUCCUGGUGUAGCGGUGAAAUGCGCAGAUAUCAGGAAGAACACCCGUGGCGAAAGCGGCUCUCUGGAACGGUACUGACGCUGAGACGCGAAAGCGUGGGGAGCGAACAGG